rnacentral:rRNA from 1 species
AUUGAACGCUGGCGGCAGGCCUAACACAUGCAAGUCGAGCGAGCGGCGGACGGGUGAGUAAUGUCUGGGAAACUGCCUGAUGGAGGGGGAUAACUACUGGAAACGGUAGCUAAUACCGCAUACCAUCAGAUGUGCCCAGAUGGGAUUAGCUAGUAGGUUGGGUAACGAAUCACCUAGGCGACGAUCCCUAGCUGGUCUGAGAGGAUGACCAGCCAAACGGGAACUGAAACACGGUCCAGACUCCUACGGAAGGCAGCAGUGGGGAAUAUUGCACAAUGGGCGAAAGCCUGAUGCAGCCAUGCCGCGUGUGUGAAGAAGGCCUUCGGGUUGUAAAGUACUUUCAGCGGGGAGACGUUACCCGCAGAAGAAGCACCGGCUAACUCCGUGCCAGCAGCCGCGGUAAUUC